CCUACGGGGGGCUGCAGUGAGGAAUAUUGGUCAAUGGGCGAAAGCCUGAACCAGCCAAGUCGCGUGAAGGAAGAAGGUUCUAUGGAUUGUAAACUUCUUUUGUAAGGGAAUAAAAAGAGCUACGUGUAGCUUAUUGUAUGUACUUUACGAAUAAGGAUCGGCUAACUCCGUGCCAGCAGCCGCGGUAAUACGGAGGAUCCAAGCGUUAUCCGGAUUUAUUGGGUUUAAAGGGUGCGUAGGCGGACUUAUAAGUCAGCGGUGAAAGUUUGCAGCUCAACUGUAAAAUUGCCGUUGAAACUGUUAGUCUUGAGUGUAAAUGAGGUAGGCGGAAUGUGUUGUGUAGCGGUGAAAUGCUUAGAUAUAACACAGAACACCAAUUGCGAAGGCAGCUUACUGGGAUGCAACUGACGCUGAGGCACGAAAGCGUGGGGAUCAAACAGGAUUAGAUACCCCGGUAGUC
rnacentral:rRNA from 1 species